rnacentral:rRNA from 1 species
CCUACGGGUGGCAGCAGUGAGGAAUAUUGGUCAAUGGCCGCAGGGCUGAACCAGCAAAGUCGCGUGAGGGAUGACGGUCCUAUGGAUUGUAAACCCCUUUUGUCAGGGAGCAACGGGCGCCACGUGUGGCGUUUUGCGAGUACCUGAAGAAAAAGCAUCGUCUAACUCCGUGCCAGCAGCCGCGGUAAUACGGGGGAUGCGAGGGUUAUCCGGAUUUAUUGGGUUAAAGGGGUGCGCAGGCGGAAUGUCAAGUCGGCGGUAAAAUUUCGGGGCUAAACCCCGUCGUGCCGUUGAAACUGGCGUUCUUGAGUGAGCGAGAAGUAUGCGGAAUGCGGGGUGUAGCGGUGAAAUGCAUAGAUAUCAUACAGAACACCGAUUGCGAAGGCAGCUUACCAAGCUUCUUCUGACGUUGAGGCACGAAAGCGUGGGGAGCAAACAGGAUUAGAUACCCUGGUAGUC